UCUCAAAUAAAUAAAUAAAAUCUUUAAAAAAAAAAAAAGAAUUUAGAGCUAGUAAGUGCAGGAGUAUGAGCCAAACAUGCCCCCUCAUGUACUUAUGCUUGUUGACUUUUCCAAACUGUGGGCUGAGCUGCCAUGUUCUUCAUGUGAGAUAAGCACAGUGGAAAACCAAAGUUGCAAAUGAGGAGUGCCCCUGGGGACUGAACACUCUUCGCAGCAUUUACAGUACUACUGAUAAAGUAAAUAUUCCUGGGGCAAUAACUGUGAUAUUUUACUGUAUUCUUUGUUUUAGCUGUCAUUUAGUCAGCCACAUUUAAUGGGCGUCCACUUUGUGAAACUGACUUAAAUAUUGUGUGCACUUCCUAGGGAAAUAUAGGAUUCCUGAUGAUCUCUAGGAAGCUGUGUUGAGAUGGUGAUCCUGGGGAGAUGCGGUGGGGGAGAAGGGAUGUAAGAGGAUGGGAUGGAUGAUUAGUGCUCUUCACAUUUUAUGUUGUUGAUGAUUAGAACAUUCUGAAAAAAUUAUUUUUCCUGACUUUUAAUUUAGUAUCCUCUUUCCGCUUUAACAUGUAGCCUCAUUGAUUUUAUCAAAUUAAUUAACUACAUUCUCCACACCUUCAUAUUUAUAAAUUAAUCUUCUGAAAUGUUGUACCAAUUUGUACUUUGAUCAGGAAAGUGCACCUAAAGGGGUUGUCUCUAAGGAUUUUUCUUUAAACCUGGAAAAUUUCAAAUAUGAUGUAAAUUAAGUAUCAGUACAACUAACAAACAGAUUUGUGAUUGGAGAAGACUAAAACGGUCUUGGUCUUUCUUCUUGUUCUGAAUUGAAACAGCUAAUAGAAAACAGCAGUGACGCUGUUCUUGGUAAGAUGAUGCUGGCCUUUCUUUAUGACUUUUUUGUCUUUAUAAAUUUAAAAAAAGAUAUUAUAUGUUACAAUAAUAUUACAUAUUAUUAAAUAUUGCAUGUUUACUUUAGAAAAUAGAACAUUGGUUGGCAUUGCAUAAAACAGAGCGACAUGUGGCACUUGCUUAGUUAAUUUCACUACCUUAACCACUUUAACUGAGGAACCUGGUAAUCUGAAUUACCGUGUGUGACUUCCUAAUCAUCUUCCCCUGCACACCCUCGCCGGUUCCUACCUCCAUUAGCUUCCUCUCUUCCCUGUUUGUUUGCCGGGAUGGAAAGAACCCUGAACCGGAGGUGAGGAGCCAUGAGCUGCCUUCCAGUGCCAUACACUAACAGUGUGUUCUUAGGAGAGGCGCUCUAGGACUGCGGUGGGUUGCAAACAUGGCCACAGAUUUAUCAACUUUUACAUUCUCACCCUUUGCAUAUAUCUUCCCACACUGGCUCCUGGCUGGACCGUGUGACUUGCUUUGACCCGUGGACUUGAGCGAACGCUACGUGCACAGAGACUUGUAACGUGCUUGCCGAUUGGCCUUGCCCUUUUGCUGCUCUUGGAGCUCUGUGACUGCCACCUGAAGAAGCCUGGGUUAGCCUGCAGAAUGAUGAAACACGUGUGGCCCCGUCUUCCUGUCCUCGUGGCCGGACACUGAGCGAGGCCCUCCUAGGUCAGCCAGUUGCUGGCUGAAUCACUAGUGAGCCCAGCUAAAAUUAGCUGAGCUAACCCAGACCAGAGGAACCUGCCUUAGCUGAUUCGCAGAAUUGGAGCGCCAUAAAUGGUGUUUCGCUACGUUUGGGGCUGGGUUGUUCACGGCUAAAGAGAACGGAUACAAAAUCCAAAUAGAAACCCAAACAAUGAGUGACAACGUAUUCCCUGCCUACCCCAGAACAUUGUUGGAGAUUAUAUGAGAUUAAAAAGUAUAUGAUGGACAAAGCUUCUGAAGAGCAGUGCCCAGCAAUGUUUUGUGUUUGAUCAUCAAUCGGAUGUUCAGUGAAGAAACGAAUGGAUAAUAAGCUACACGAUUAUGAGGUGGCAGUUGCAGCAGCAAUAGAAUAGUCAGAUAUUCCAGAUCCCCCAGAAAACCUUAUCUACCUGAAGACACAAAGAAAUCUCCUAUCAGCUCCUAAAAGCUUUACAGCCUUAUCUUUCACCAUAAUUGUAUUACAGGGUGUGGUUCUGCCACAGCGAUCAACGGAACCUGUGCAGACUCUCUCGUGUUAGAGAAGAAUAUUGCUGCUUCCUGAUUGGGUAUUAACAAUAAUUACAUCCAUAAAGAUAAGCCAGACUACUUGAAUCAGAAUGCACAAGGUACUGCAAUUGUCAGACUUGCCCACCUGUACUUAAGCCAACUGAAUAAUAAUGAAUCAGCAUCAUUCAAAAAGACUGAAACUAAGAAAGAUGAUUUGGCCAUUUCAAUAUUUCCUAUGAAAAAAGUCAUUUUCAGGACAAUACUUAGCAUUCAUAUUCAAGGAUUUUGAACUUAGUGUGUUUUAAGAAAGGUUAAUGUUUUCAUAAUGCCUUGCAAAUGUAACAUAUUAGAUGUCUCCUCUAUUUCCUAACUAAGGAAUGUUCUCCUUGGUGAACAUCUAACUUGUCAGGGAGCAGUUGUGAAUAGUGAUGUGGUGAAGAGCACAUACACUGGGUCAAAGAGCUGGAAUUUGCCCCUUACGCCCUGUGUGGAUCGGGAGAAAUUGUUUAAUCUCUGUAGUGGGCUGACUGGUGGCCCCCCAAAAGAUAUGUCCCUGCCUCAACACCUGGAAUCUGUGAAUGUGAGUUUAUUUGGAAAAAGAGUCUUACGGAUGUACUUAGAUUAAGCAUCUUGAGAUGAGAUCAUUCUGGAUUAUUUGGAUGGUCCCUAAAUCCAAUGACAAGUGUCAUUAUAAAAGAAAGGCUGAGGGCUAUUUGAGACAGACACACAGAGGAGAAAGUGAUGUGAAAAUGAAGGCAGGGACUGGAGUUAUGCAUCCACAAAUCUAGAGCCCCCAGAAGCUGGAUGAGGCAAGGUAAUGCCCACUGCUGGAGCCUUCAGAGGGAGUGUGGCCCUGCUGAUACCUUGAUUUUGGACU